rnacentral:pre_miRNA from 1 species
AAUUACCGUCAACCAAUCAUAAUUUAAGGAUGUGAGAAAAUCACUUUUUUUAUUUAAUUUCAUUAAUUGAUGUGACACAUCCUUAAAAUAUGAUUGGUUGACGGUGUAAAAA